rnacentral:rRNA from 1 species
GAUGAACGCUAGCGGCAGGCCUAAUACAUGCAAGUCGAACGGUGUCUUCGGACAUAGUGGCGCACGGGUGCGUAACACGUAUGCAACCUACCUUACAUUGGGGGAUAGCCUUUCGAAAGGGAGAUUAAUACCGCAUAAGACAGUAGCUGGGCAUCCAGCGGCUGUUAAAGAUUUAUCGAUGUAAGCUGGGCAUGCGUCCAAUUAGCUAGUUGGUGAGGUAACGGCUCACCAAGGCAAUGAUUGGUAGGGGAACUGAGAGGUCCAUCCCCCACACUGGCACUGAGAUACGGGCCAGACUCCUACGGGAGGCAGCAGUAGGGAAUAUUGGGCAAUGGACGCAAGUCUGACCCAGCCAUGCCGCGUGCAGGAUGAAGGCGUUAUGCGUUGUAAACUGCUUUUAUACAGGAAGAAACGACUCUUGCGAGAGGCAUUGACGGUACUGUAUGAAUAAGCACCGGCUAACUCCGUGCCAGCCGCCGCGGUAAAAC